rnacentral:piRNA from 1 species
UGCACUGCUUCGCCAUUUUCUGCAAGGAUC